rnacentral:rRNA from 1 species
GACGAACGCUGGCGGCGUGCUUAACACAUGCAAGUCGAACGGAAAGGCCUGCUUUCCCUUGUGGAUAGCGGGUGCUCGAGUGGGGAACGGGUGAGUAAAAAGCGUGUGAUCUGCCCCCAAAUUGGGUAUAAGCCUGGGAAACUGGGUCUAAUUAUCGAUAGGACUGCAGGGUGGUGCAGGUGGUGGAGAACGAUGUUGUAGUGGUUGGGGAUGCGCUCGCGGACUAUCAGGUUGUUGUUGGGGUGAUGGCCUACCAAGGCGGCGACGGGUAGCCGGCCGGAGAUGGUGGACGGCCACAUUGAGACUGAGAUACGGCCCAGACUCCUACGGGAAGCAGCAAAGGGGAAGAUUUCACAAUGAGCGGAAGCCUGAUGCAGCGACGCCGCGAUGGGGAUGACGGCCUUCGGGUUGUAAGCUCCUUUCGACCGCGAGUUAUCCACCUGGUUGGAAGGGUCGUGACGGUAGUGGUAGAAGAAGCACCGGCUAACUACGUG